rnacentral:rRNA from 1 species
GGUCCUACGGGAGGCAGCAGUCGGGAAUAUUGCGCAAUGGAGGAAACUCUGACGCAGUGACGCCGCGUAUAGGAAGAAGGUUUUCGGAUUGUAAACUAUUGUCGUUAGGGAAGAUAAAAGACUGUACCUAAGGAGGAAGCCCCGGCUAACUAUGUGCCAGCAGCCGCGGUAAUACAUAGGGGGCAAGCGUUAUCCGGAAUUAUUGGGUGUAAAGGGUGCGUAGACGGGAAAUUAAGUUAGUUGUGAAAUCCCUCGGCUUAACUGAGGAACUGCAACUAAAACUGGUUUUCUUGAGUACUGGAGAG